UUGUGUGUAAAAGAGCUCAACAAGUAUUAGAAAUUAUAAGUCAAAUACAACAAACUUAAUCUGAACUUGGAGAUGCAAUUGCUUGGUAUGAGGCGGCAGGUGGUCUCAAGAAAGGAGUAGUGUUGUUCAUUAUAUUGGGCUAGAUAAUCUCAACAUGAAUGAUGAUACACAAUCUCCAGCGCAAU